UACGAAGGACCGGAGCGUUAUCCGGAGUUAUUGGGUUUAAAGGGUGCGUAGGCGGACUUAUAAGUCAGUGGUGAAAUCUCCCAGCUUAACUGGGAAACUGCCAUUGAAACUGUUUGUCUUGAGUACAUUUGAGGCGGGCGGAAUGUGUCAUGUAGAGGUGAAAUUCUUAGAUAUGACACAGAACACCAAUUGCGAAGGCAGCUCGCUAAACUGUAACUGACGCUGAGGCACGAAAGUGCGGGUAGCAAACAGG
rnacentral:rRNA from 1 species